AUUGAACGCUGGCGGCAGGCCUAACACAUGCAAGUCGAGCGGAGCGGCGGACGGGUGAGUAAUGUGUGGGGAUCUUCCCGCUAGAGGGGGAUAACUCCUGGAAACGGUAGCUAAUACCGCAUACUACCGGAUGAACACAUAUGGGAUUAGCUAGUAGGUGGGGUAAUGGCUCACCAAGGCGACGAUCCCUAGCUGGUCUGAGAGGAUGAUCAGCCACACUGGGACUGAGACACGGCCCAGACUCCUACGGGAGGCAGCAGUGGGGAAUAUUGCACAAUGGGCGAAAGCCUGAUCCAGCCAUGCCGCGUGUGUGAAGAAGGUCUUCGGAUUGUAAAGCACUUUAAGUUGGGAGGCGUUACCAACAGAAUAAGCACCGGCUAACUUCGUGCCAGCAGCCGCGGUAAUAC
rnacentral:rRNA from 1 species